GCUUGCUUCUCUGAUGUUAGCGGGGACGGGUGACGUAACACGUGGAUAACCUACCUAUAAGACCUGGGAUAACCUUCGGGAAACCCGGAGCUCAAUACCGGAUAAUAUUUUGAACCGCAUGGUUCAAAAGUGCAAAGACGGUCUUGCUGUCCACUUCAUAGCAUGGAUCCGCGCUGCAUUAGCUAGUUGGUAAGGUCAACGGCUUACCAAAGGCCAACGAUGCAUAGCCGACCUGAGCAGGGUGCAUCGGCCACACUGGAACUGAGACACGGUCCAGACUCCUACGGGAGGCAGCAGUAGGGAAUCUUCCGCAAUGGGCGAAAGCCUGACGGAGCAACGCCGCGUGAGUGAUGAAGGUCUUCGGAUCGUAAAACUCCGUUAUUAGGGAAGAACAUAUGUGUAAGUAACUGUGCACAUCUUGACGGUACCUAAUCAGAAAGCCACGGCUAACUACGUGCCAGCAGCCGCGGUAAUACGUAGGUGGCAAGCGUUAUCCGGAAUUAUUGGGCGUAAAGCGCGCGUAGGCGGUUUUUUAAGUCUGAUGUGAAAGCCCACGGCUCAACCGUGGAGGGUCAUUGGAAACUGGAAAACUUGAGUGCAGAAGAGGAAAGUGGAAUUCCAUGUGUAGCGGUGAAAUGCGCAGAGAUAUGGAGGAACACCAGUGGCGAAGGCGACUUUCUGGUCUGUAACUGACGCUGAUGUGCGAAAGCGUGGGGAUCAAACAGGAUUAGAUACCCUGGUAGUCCACGCCGUAAACGAUGAGUGCUAAGUGUUAGGGGGUUUCCGCCCCUUAGUGCUGCAGCUAACGCAUUAAGCACUCCGCCUGGGGAGUACGAC
rnacentral:rRNA from 1 species